GACGAACGCUGGCGGCGUGCUUAACACAUGCAAGUCGAGCGGUAAGGCCCUUUCGGGGGUACACGAGCGGCGAACGGGUGAGUAACACGUGGGUGACCUGCCCUCAGCUCUGGGAUAAGCCUGGGAAACUGGGUCUAAUACCGGAUAUGACUCCAUGACGCAUGUUGUGGGGUGGAAAGCCUUGUGCGGCUGAGGAUGGGCCCGCGGCCUAUCAGCUUGUUGGUGGGGUGANGGCCUACCAAGGCGACGACGGGUAGCCGGCCUGAGAGGGCGACCGGCCACACUGGGACUGAGACACGGCCCAGACUCCUACGGGAGGCAGCAGGUGGGGAAUCUUGCGCAAUGGGCGAAAGCCUGACGCAGCGACGCCGCGUGAGGGAUGACGGCCU
rnacentral:rRNA from 1 species